CUAAUGUGUCAGAUUUAAUGUAUUAAAUUUAAGAUUUAGCUAUGAGUUCCUUUAUUCCUUUAGUA
rnacentral:tRNA from 1 species